GACGGAGGGGGCUAGCGUUGUUCGGAAUUACUGGGCGUAAAGGGCGCGUAGGCGGCUCUUCAAGUUAGGCGUGAAAGUCCUGGGCUUAACCUAGGAAUAGCGUUUAAUACUGGAGAGCUAGAGAUUGGUAGAGGGAAAUGGAAUUCCUAGUGUAGAGGUGAAAUUCGUAGAUAUUAGGAAGAACACCAGAGGCGAAGGCGGUUUCCUGGGCCAAUACUGACGCUGAGGCGCGAAAGCGUGGGGAGCAAACAGG
rnacentral:rRNA from 1 species